CUUCCGCCGCCGGGCGUGCUGGCCGGAGGGGUGGCGUGGCGAGUUCGGUGGCCCGGGGUCUGACGCUGGCGGCGGGAGGCUGCUGGACUGCGCACAGGUGCAGCCGGCGGGGAGGGGUUGCCGCCGUAGCUCUCAGUCGCCCCAUCGCUCAGCUGUAAAACGCCCCCCUGGACAGGGCGCGGGGCCACCUCAGGAACCUUCAUCCCCCCUGGGCUAUCCUGUCAACUCAAGCUCUGAUAGUGUAUUUCCCAGGCACACACCCCAAAAACCUUCUGCAUGCAAUUCUCCAUCUCAAGUUUGUUUCCAAGGAACCCAAGCCGAGCCAGUGUGGUGUGCCUGGACUUCACAGAUUGACCUCAGAUGAGCUCAGCUCCUGGCCU